rnacentral:tRNA from 1 species
GGGGCAAUAGCUCAGUAGGGAGAGCGGUACGUUCGCAACGUACAGGUCGGGGGUUCAAAUCCCCCUUGCUCCA